rnacentral:rRNA from 1 species
GACGAUGGGAACGCGAGCGGCGGAUGGGUGAGUAACACGUGGGGAACCUGCCCCAUAGUCUGGGAUACCACUUGGAAACAGGUGCUAAUACCGGAUAAGAAAGCAGAUCGCAUGAUCAGCUUAUAAAAGGCGGCGUAAGCUGUCGCUAUGGGAUGGCCCCGCGGUGCAUUAGCUAGUUGGUAGGGUAACGGCCUACCAAGGCAAUGAUGCAUAGCCGAGUUGAGAGACUGAUCGGCCACAUUGGGACUGAGACACGGCCCAAACUCCUACGGGAGGCAGCAGUAGGGAAUCUUCCACAAUGGACGAAAGUCUGAUGGAGCAACGCCGCGUGAGUGAAGAAGGUUUUCGGAUCGUAAAGCUCUGUUGUUGGUGAAGAAGGAUAGAGGUAGUAACUGGCCUUUAUUUGACGGUAAUCAACCAGAAAGUCACGGCUAACUACGUGCCAGCAGCCGCGGUAAUACGUAGGUGGCAAGCGUUGUCCGGAUUUAUUGGGCGUAAAGCGAGCGCAGGCGGAAGAAUAAGUCUGAUGUGAAAGCCCUCGGCUUAACCGAGGAACUGCAUCGGAAACUGUUUUUCUUGAGUGCAGAAGAGGAGAGUGGAACUCCAUGUGUAGCGGUGGAAUGCGUAGAUAUAUGGAAGAACACCAGUGGCGAAGGCGGCUCUCUGGUCUGCAACUGACGCUGAGGCUCGAAAGCAUGGGUAGCGAACAGGAUUAGAUACCCUGGUAGUCCAUGCCGUAAACGAUGAGUGCUAAGUGUUGGGAGGUUUCCGCCUCUCAGUGCUGCAGCUAACGCAUUAAGCACUCCGCCUGGGGGAGUACGACCGCAAGGUUGAAACUCAAAGGAAUUGACGGGGGCCCGCACAAGCGGUGGAGCAUGUGGUUUAAUUCGAAGCAACGCGAAGAACCUUACCAGGUCUUGACAUCUAGUGCAAUCCGUAGAGAUACGGAGUUCCCUUCGGGGACACUAAGCCAGGUGGUGCAUGGCUGUCGUCAGCUCGUGUCGUGAGAUGUUGGGUUAAGUCCCGCAACGAGCGCAACCCUUGUCAUUAGUUGCCAGCAUUAAGUUGGGCACUCUAAUGAGACUGCCGGUGACAAACCGGAGGAAGGUGGGGAUGACGUCAAGUCAUCAUGCCCCUUAUGACCUGGGCUACACACGUGCUACAAUGGACAGUACAACGAGGAGCAAGCCUGCGAAGGGAAGCGAAUCUCUUAAAGCUGUUCUCAGUUCGGACUGCAGUCUGCAACUCGACUGCACGAAGCUGGAAUCGCUAGUAAUCGCGGAUCAGCACGCCGCGG